AGUUCUUAACCUGGUCUCCUGCUCUCCCUCUGCACUCUGGUCCCUAUCACAGCCUUUAGCAGCAGGACCUGAUCAUCUCUCCUGACUUAAAGAUGCUUUUUGUAAUCCCCAUUCUCUUUCAAGGGACACUCAACAAACAUCAGUGGUUAUCAUUAUUGAUAUUUUCAUUAUUGUCAUUGUUUUAUUUACUUUCAGACACUACAGUUGUCUUAUGUGAAACUAUUUCCAUAUUAAAAAGUUAGAUUUUUCCAUUUCUUUUGAGUGUUGCAAAACCUCCAUGAGAUAAGGAAGAGUUGGUGUUGUAUAUAAAAGAGAAAUUGUACUUAUCAUCUGAAAAAAUGUGUUAGUUCAUUCAGUAGGGAGUAAUUCAUGUGUUUUAUCAAAAACUGUGACACAAUCUGAUAGUAUUUUGCAGAGAUCACAUGGGCUGCUCCAUGGAGAAAAUAUCUGAUCAGAUCACGAUGAAGCAAAGAGGUCGUAACUGACAAUGUCUAAACAAAUGACUGUGGAGAGAGAUCAGAAAGAUGUUUAGGAAGAGAACUUAGCAGGAUUUGACAACUGGUUGGAUUUAGAAGGUGAGGAAGACUGACUACCAACAGCUCCUUAUUUUUAGAGUGAUGAGUUGGACAUGCUCUGAAUCUUCUUGUAUGUCUUCUAAGAAAGGGAAGAUAAAAUAGCAAAUUAAAUCAUACCAUUUUUAUUUUCCAAAUUUUCUGAUCCCAUUUAUCUGACAGUGGUGCAGCAGGAUGCCUGCCAACAGUCUUAGAAGCCAGAGCAUGGAAAAGGGUCACCUCCAUCUAACCUUGUGCCAUGAGGCUAAGAACAACGACGUCCACCAAACUGCCUCUCCAUUCUGCAACGCGCAAGUGAAAUAAGACUGAAGUGUCCCCUCGAGUCUCAAGGACUGAAUAAAACAACACAUAUUGAAAAAGCUGAGAAGAAUCUAUUAAGGAGAAAAGAAUACAGAAAAAUUAUUUACAUAGAAACAUGGCUUUAAAGGACAUGCUUAUAUUCAAUAAAGGUUAAACAAAUUAA